GUAGGGUGCAAGCGUUAAUCGGAAUUACUGGGCGUAAAGCGUGCGCAGGCGGUUAUGUAAGACAGAUGUGAAAUCCCCGGGCUCAACCUGGGAACUGCAUUUGUGACUGCAUGGCUAGAGUACGGUAGAGGGGGAUGGAAUUCCGCGUGUAGCAGUGAAAUGCGUAGAUAUGCGGAGGAACACCGAUGGCGAAGGCAAUCCCCUGGACCUGUACUGACGCUCAUGCACGAAAGCGUGGGGAGCAAACAGGAUUAGAUACCCUGGUAGUCCACGCCCUAAACGAUGUCAACUGGUUGUUGGGAAUUAGUUUUCUCAGUAACGAAGCUAACGCGUGAAGUUGACCGCCUGGGGAGUACGGCCGCAAGGUUG
rnacentral:rRNA from 1 species